GUUCAAUGUCACUGAUCAUCAGAGAAAUAUAAAUCAAAACCACAAUGGAAUAUCAUCUCACCCUAAUGAAAAUGGAUACUAUCAAAAGCACAUAAUAAUAAAAUAGUAGUAGUAGUAGUAGUUGUCGUCGUCGUCGUCGUCGUCGUCGUCGUAGUAGUAUGCCAGGAAGGAUAAAG